rnacentral:rRNA from 2 species
GACGAACGCUGGCGGCGUGCCUAAUACAUGCAAGUCGAACGAACUCUGGUAUUGAUUGGUGCUUGCAUCAUGAUUUACAUUUGAGUGAGUGGCGAACUGGUGAGUAACACGUGGGAAACCUGCCCAGAAGCGGGGGAUAACACCUGGAAACAGAUGCUAAUACCGCAUAACAACUUGGACCGCAUGGUCCGAGUUUGAAAGAUGGCUUCGGCUAUCACUUUUGGAUGGUCCCGCGGCGUAUUAGCUAGAUGGUGGGGUAACGGCUCACCAUGGCAAUGAUACGUAGCCGACCUGAGAGGGUAAUCGGCCACAUUGGGACUGAGACACGGCCCAAACUCCUACGGGAGGCAGCAGUAGGGAAUCUUCCACAAUGGACGAAAGUCUGAUGGAGCAACGCCGCGUGAGUGAAGAAGGGUUUCGGCUCGUAAAACUCUGUUGUUAAAGAAGAACAUAUCUGAGAGUAACUGUUCAGGUAUUGACGGUAUUUAACCAGAAAGCCACGGCUAACUACGUGCCAGCAGCCGCGGUAAUACGUAGGUGGCAAGCGUUGUCCGGAUUUAUUGGGCGUAAAGCGAGCGCAGGCGGUUUUUUAAGUCUGAUGUGAAAGCCUUCGGCUCAACCGAAGAAGUGCAUCGGAAGCUGGGAAACUUGAGUGCAGAAGAGGACAGUGGAACUCCAUGUGUAGCGGUGAAAUGCGUAGAUAUAUGGAAGAACACCAGUGGCGAAGGCGGCUGUCUGGUCUGUAACUGACGCUGAGGCUCGAAAGUAUGGGUAGCAAACAGGAUUAGAUACCCUGGUAGUCCAUACCGUAAACGAUGAAUGCUAAGUGUUGGAGGGUUUCCGCCCUUCAGUGCUGCAGCUAACGCAUUAAGCAUUCCGCCUGGGGAGUACGGCCGCAAGGCUGAAACUCAAAGGAAUUGACGGGGGCCCGCACAAGCGGUGGAGCAUGUGGUUUAAUUCGAAGCUACGCGAAGAACCUUACCAGGUCUUGACAUACUAUGCAAAUCUAAGAGAUUAGACGUUCCCUUCGGGGACAUGGAUACAGGUGGUGCAUGGUUGUCGUCAGCUCGUGUCGUGAGAUGUUGGGUUAAGUCCCGCAACGAGCGCAACCCUUAUUAUCAGUUGCCAGCAUUAAGUUGGGCACUCUGGUGAGACUGCCGGUGACAAACCGGAGGAAGGUGGGGAUGACGUCAAAUCAUCAUGCCCCUUAUGACCUGGGCUACACACGUGCUACAAUGGAUGGUACAACGAGUUGCGAACUCGCGAGAGUAAGCUAAUCUCUUAAAGCCAUUCUCAGUUCGGAUUGUAGGCUGCAACUCGCCUACAUGAAGUCGGAAUCGCUAGUAAUCGCGGAUCAGCAUGCCGCGGUGAAUACGUUCCCGGGCCUUGUACACACCGCCCGUCACACCAUGAGAGUUUGUAACACCCAAAGUCGGUGGGGUAACCUUUUAGGAACCAGCCGCCUAAGGUGGGACAGAUGAUUAGGGUG